UGAUUCCACAGCUAUCCAUAUACUAAGAUUGGAAUGGUACACAGAAGAUUACCAUGACCCCUGCACAAGGAUAACACAUGCAUUCAUAAAGUAUUUAAUUUUUUA
ensembl:snRNA U6 U6 spliceosomal RNA